rnacentral:rRNA from 1 species
UACGGGGGGGGCAAGCGUUGUUCGGAAUUACUGGGCGUAAAGGGCUCGUAGGUGGCCAACUAAGUCGGACGUGAAAUCCCUCGGCUUAACCGGGGAACUGCGUCCGAUACUGGUUGGCUUGAGUUUGGGAGAGGGAUGCGGAAUUCCAGGUGUAGCGGUGAAAUGCGUAGAGAUCGGGAGGAACACCGGUGGCGAAGGCGGGUCUCUGGCCACACCCUGACGCUGAGGCGCGAAAGCGUGGGGAGCAAACGGG